UACGGGGGGGGCAAGCGUUGUUCGGAUUUACUGGGCGUAAAGGGCGCGUAGGCGGUCGUGACAAGUCACUUGUGAAAUCUCUGGGCUUAACUCAGAACGGCCAAGUGAUACUGUCGCGCUAGAGUGCAGAAAGGGCAAUCGGAAUUCUUGGUGUAGCGGUGAAAUGCGUAGAUAUCAAGAGGAACACCUGAGGCGAAGGCGGGUUGCUAGGCUGACACUGACGCUGAGUGCGCGAAAGCCAGGGGAGCAAACGGG
rnacentral:rRNA from 1 species